rnacentral:rRNA from 1 species
CCGGCGCGACGGGUGAGUAACACGUAGUACGGAACCUCGCCCGCAGCGAGGGGAUAGCGGAAGAAAUUCCGUCUAAUACCGCGUAACACCGCAGAGGGGCAUCCCUCGGCGGUUAAAGAUUCAUCGGCUGCGGAUGGCCAUGCGGCGCACUAGCUAGUCGGCGGGGUAACGGCCCACCGAGGCGACGAUGCGUAGGGGUUCUGAGAGGAAGGUCCCCCACACUGGUACUGAGACACGGACCAGACUUCUACGGAAGGCAGCAG